GGGUCGAUGCCCGAGGGGUUAAAGGGGACGGAUUGUAAAUCCGUUGGCAACGCCUACGCUGGUUCAAAUCCAGCUCGGCCCA
rnacentral:tRNA from 2 species